CCUCUUUCUUUUGUAAAUUGCCCAGUCUCAGGUAUGUCUUUAUUAGCAGUGUGAAAGCGGACUAAUACAGCAACCUUAAACUCCAGGGCUAAAGCGAUCCUCCCACCUCAGCCUCCAGAGAAGCUAGGACUACAGGCACCUUCCACCAUACCUGUUACAGGUCACAUGGUGUUAACAAGUCCUGGGAUGACUGAUUCCUUGAAGAGGAUGGACCAUGGGAAUGUCCGGCUUUCAGGAAAGAAGUAAGACUGCCUGGAUGUCUGUGAUCACAGUGAAAAGCUUGGACUGACUUGGAUUAGAAUCUGGCUUCAUCAGUUUCAGUGGCUGGGAGAACCUGAAGAUGAUGGACUUCUCCCAGCUGUCACUCUCGAGGAGAAACACGAUCCUGAUUCCUACCUCACAACUGCCAAACACAAGUGUCUGCCACAUUCUCUUUCUCUUCAUCUCCCUCCUCUCUGGGGUAAAUCAAAGAUCCAAGUCCCAGCUCCCAUCCUCAAAGCCCUCAUAGUCCAGUGUAAUGGGCUGACCUGAGCAAGGAUGGCGUUUGAUGACUUUCAUGGGAUUUUCAAAUGGAGAUGGCUUCGAGCCGGGGGUCCUGGUGGUGCUGGGAAAUUGCUGAAGAGUACUCAGUGGAGGCGCAUGGGGUGGUGAGUUCUGAGAGGGGUGGUGUGUCUAGAUAGGUGGGACCAUGGUAAGGCCAAGGCAAGCAGGGACGUGGUUGUGACCCGUUUUGCCACCCCUCACCUAUGCCGCGGGCCUCAGGGGUUCCCUGCUUGGCCUGGACCUUGGUCUCAUCUCAGGGGAUGGGGAAUCAGCAAAGGCUGUCCUGGCUGUCCUCACCACCCGCGAAGGCAUGUAAUUGUCAUGUUUUCCUUUCCCAUUGAUUCCUUUUUGUCGUGACUUUCUGUACCUAACUCAGGUACCUUAGUUUGUGUUUUUCAAGCUGAUUGUUGGUUAAUUUAUUCAGUCGGUGUUUCUUAGAAAAGGCCUGUUGGAGACUCAUGAAAACCAGCACUCCUCUAAAAUAACAAAUGAACUUCUAGUCAAUGCCUAACGACCUCCAGUGCGUGUUCCUAACACCGGGUCUUGGACAAACCAGGUAACUGCUCUGCGUCUCGUUUCCUCCUGUCUGAUGAUAGUGACGGUGACAGUGUUGUCUCAACCAAGCUCCCUACAGACAGAGCCUGAGAUGGGAAUUGAGUGAGGUGCCCUCAGGGGUCGGAAAGUGAGGCAGCAGGACAGGGAAGGGCGAAGGGAUGCUGGGUUGGAGACUAGCUUCAGCCUGCUGCAACGAGGACCUUGGGAACACAACUCGCCCUAAGAAGUUGGUGCUACUUUAAGGCAGCCUUUUGUACUCCAGGUCAUCAAGUCCAUACAGGGGGCCAGUCUUUUGUACCCCAGGUCAUCAAUUUGAUGCAGGGGGGGCAGCCUUUUGUACCAUAGGUUAGGGAUUGACCAUGAGCUGCAUAGAGUAACCCUUUAGGUGAGGCUGCUUCCUUUGACUGAGAGUAAUUCUCCAAAAAAAGGGUGCAGGUAGAGCCAUCAGCAGCCAACCCUCACAGCAGUGGGGAUGGGGACAGAGGUGGGGUGAGUCAGAUGAAUCUCUGGACAUGUGCACACUGGGUAAUAGACGCUGACAUUUACUGAGUGCUUACUAUUUGACAGGUACUUGUCUAAGUAGUUUACUUACACUAACAGUUUAUGCUCAUGCCACCCUAUAUAGUAGAUAUAUCCUUCUACUAUUAGCUGCAUCUUACAGAUGAAGAAAUGGAGGCACACAGAGGUUAAGUAACUUGCCCAAGGCCACACAGCAAGUGAAGGGGGGAACCAGGUUGGGAAAAAUGAUCUCUAAGUAACUUUUGUUAGGAAUUUCAGACUGGUAUCAUUUAUUUAGUCAGUUCUCAAAUCAUUCCACAUUUAUUGAGAGCCUCUCAUGUCCUAGAAAUGACACAGAUAAAUCAAGCAUGUCUCCAGCCUUCCAGGAGCUCAAACUCUACUGGGAGAAGCACUGUGUGCACUGCUUAAUACUGGACUGUGUCCUGAGCACUCGGAGAGGGAAGUGCAAAAGUGUGCUACUUCUGCCCUGGGGCAUUCGGAGAGAUGGCUGGGAGAAGAUAAGGCUGCAGUUUGGUCUGGAAGGAUAUGCAGAUAUUAAGGGUUAAAGGAUGAGAAGGACAUUUUUGUCAGAGGGAAUGGGGCAUGGUGGGACAAGGACACUGAAAGAUGGAGGUGUGGGGCAGGGUGGAGGGAAUGAGACUGCUUAGAGACAGUCUGGGAUGGCUGCAGGCUGUGAGAGGCCUGUGGGGUUCGGCCAGUGUAGGGAGACCCAGGUUCUCAGUCAGUCCAAGUUCAGUCUCCACCUGCAACAGACUGGCUCAGUGGAGGUGGCAAAGGAUGAUGGCUGUCUCAGUCCCCAAGCCCCCUCUCAAGUGGAAAAGCACCAGCAGAGCUGCUGCCUGCCUGCCCUCCAUUCAGCCUGACUCUGACUCCCUCUGAGCCACAGGCAGACUCUGACUCCAUCCUGAGCAAGGCCCCCAGGCAGGGAGGGGUUAUAUUCUGGAGCAUCACAGAGGGACCUCUGCAAUUGACUGAAUAAGAAAACAGAAUUUUAGAAUAAAAAAAGGAGAGGUUUUUUUUUUUGACACAAAAACAAGGAGUACAAUUCAUUGCUCUUAUCUUUCUACCCUAUCCUGUUAAAAUCCAAGUGUGAUCCUCUGCAAGUCUAGUGCACACUCCUACCUUUAUCAAAACCCACCUUUAUGAUAUCAGUUAUCCUGCUGCUAGAUAACUGCCGCUGGAGGUGGGAGUGGUCGCCAAACCAGAUGAAGUUCCCAGUUCUCUCCCAGGUGACUGUCUGGGUAUAGUCGUGAUUCAACUGUUAAUGAUGUAACCAGAGCCCAGGGGAAACAUUGCCAAGAACUAGGACACCUUUUGCAAAAGUUUUUUUUUAAAAAAAAAAAGAGGGUGAGAGUUAAAAGACU